CCUGGACCCGAAGCGGGAUGAUCUAGCCCUGGGCAGGUUGAAGCGCGGGUAAGACCGCGUGGAGGACCGAACCCACCUGGGUUGAAAACCGGGGGGAUGACCUGGGGCUAGGGGUGAAAGGCCAAUCAAAUUCCGUGAUAGCUGGUUCUCUCCGAAAUGCAUUUAGGUGCAGCGUCGGUUGAUUGCAUCGCGGGGGUAGAGCUACUGGAUGCUUGCGGGCCCGUGUCGGGUACCAAUAGCAGCCAAACUCCGAAUACCGUGGAUGUGUAUUCCGGCAGUGAGUCGGCGGGGGAUAAGCUCCGUCGUCGAGAGGGAGACAGCCCAGAUCGUCGUCUAAGGUCCCGAAGCGUGUGCUAAGUGGGAAAGGAUGUGGAGUCGCAUAGACAGCCAGGAGGUUGGCUCAGAAGCAGCCAUCCUUGAAAGAGUGCGUAACAGCUCACUGGUCUAGUGGUUCCGCGCCGACAAUGUAGCGGGGCUCAAGCACACCACCGAAGACGCGGCAACAGUUUUUGCUGUUGGGUAGGAGAGCGUCCCGCGUGGGGCGAAGCGGCCGGGGAACCGUGCCGUGGACCGCGCGGGAGUGAGAAUGCAGACAUGAGUAGCGAGAGACGGGUGAGGAUCCCGUCCGCUGGAUGACCAAGGGUUCCGGGGCCACGUUCGUCGUCCCCGGGUGAGUCGGGUCCUAAGGCGAGGCCGACAGGCGUAGUCGAAUGGAUGAACGGGUGGAUAUUCCCGUACCGGCGGCGUACCGUAAGAGCCGAACGGAUGAGUACUAACCUCCGGUCGCGUGGCGUCGUUCCCUUCGGGGUUCGGGGUCCGCGGUCGUUGGGAGCGUAGUCCUGGUAGGCUAGCGCACAGGGGUGACACGGAAUGGGAGCCGGCCGCGGAGGUGGUUUUCCGUGGUCAAGCACGCAGCCCGUCCCAUAGGCAAAUCCGUGGGACGCAUAGGGUGAGGUGUGAUGAUGGGCGUCCUUUGGACGCGAUAUCCGGUGGUCCAGGCCGUCGAGAAAAGCCUCGGCGCGAGGGGCGUCGCCGCCCGUACCCCAAACCGACACUGGUGGUCAGGUAGAGAAUACCAAGGCGAUCGAGCGAAUCCUGGUCAAGGAACUCGGCAAAUCACUCCCGUGCCUUCGGUAUAAGGGAGACCCCCGGGCGUGAAGAGGCUUGCCCUCGGAGCGUUGGGGGGUGGCACAGACCAGGGGGUAGCGACUGUUUACCAAAAACACAGGUGCAUGCGAAGGCGCAAGCCGCUGUAUAUGCACUGACGCCUGCCCGGUGCCGGAAGGUUAAGAGGAUCCGUCAGCCCCUUUUGGGGUGAAGCGGUGAAUUCAAGCCCCGGUAAACGGCGGUGGUAACUAUAACCAUCCUAAGGUAGCGAAAUUCCUUGUCGGGUAAGUUCCGACCUGCACGAAUGGCGUAACGACUUCCCCACUGUCUCGACCAGGAGCUCGGCGAAAUUGCAGUACGAGUAAAGAUGCUCGUUAAGCGCAGAAGGACGAAAAGACCCCGGGACCUUUACUAUACCUUGGUAUUGGCGUUAGGCGCGGAUUGUGUAGCAUAGGCGGGAGGCUUCGAAGCGCGGGCGCCAGCCCGUGUGGAGCCGCAAGGUGAAAUACCGCUCUGUUCUCGUUUGACGUCUCACCUCGAACAGUCAUCCUGUUCAGGGACAGUGCCUGGCGGGUAGUUUAACUGGGGCGGUUGCCUCCCAAAGAGUAACGGAGGCGCUCAAAGGUCCGCUCAGCCCGGUUGGCAAUCGGGUUUCGAGUGUAAUCGCACAAGCGGGCUUGACUGCGAGAACGACGGUUCGGGCAGGGACGAAAGUCGGAGAUAGUGAUCCGGUGCCGGCGCACGGGCGCGGCAUCGCUCAACGGAUAAAAGGUACCCCGGGGAUAACAGGCUGAUCAUUCCCAAGAGUCCAUAUCGACGGGAUGGUUUGGCACCUCGAUGUCGGCUCGUCGCAUCCUGGGGCUGGAGCAGGUCCCAAGGGUUCGGCUGUUCGCCGAUUAAAGCGGCACGCGAGCUGGGUUCAGAACGUCGUGAGACAGUUUGGUCUCUAUCCUCUGCGCUCGUUGGAAUCCUGAGGAGGCCUGCCCAUAGUACGAGAGGACCUGGGUGGACG
rnacentral:rRNA from 1 species